rnacentral:rRNA from 1 species
GAUGAACGCUGGCGGCGUGCCUAAUACAUGCAAGUCGAGCGAACAGAUGAGGAGCUUGCUCCUCUGACGUUAGCGGCGGACGGGUGAGUAACACGUGGAUAACCUACCUAUAAGACUGGGAUAACUUCGGGAAACCGGAGCUAAUACCGGAUAAUAUAUUGAACCGCAUGGUUCAAUAGUGAAAGACGGUUUUGCUGUCACUUAUAGAUGGAUCCGCGCCGCAUUAGCUAGUUGGUAAGGUAACGGCUUACCAAGGCAACUAUGCGUAGCCGACCUGAGAGGGUGAUAGGCCACACUGGAACUGAGCCACGGUCCAGACGACUACGGGAGGCAGCAGUAGGGAACCUUCCGCAAUGGGCGAAAGCCUUACGGAGCAACGCCGCGUGAGUGAUGAAGGUCUUCGGAUCGUAAAACUCUGUUAUUAGGGAAGAACAAAUGUGUAAGUAACUAUGCCCGUCUUGACGGUACCUAAUCAGAAAGCGCCGGCUAACUACGUG